rnacentral:rRNA from 1 species
CCUACGGGAGGCAGCAGUGGGGAAUAUUGGACAAUGGGCGAAAGCCUGAUCCAGCCAUGCCGCGUGUGUGAAGAAGGCCUUCGGGUUGUAAAGCACUUUCAGUGGGGAAGAAAGCCUUGGGGCUAAUACCCUCGAGGAAGGACAUCACCCACAGAAGAAGCACCGGCUAACUCCGUGCCAGCAGCCGCGGUAAUACGGAGGGUGCGAGCGUUAAUCGGAAUUACUGGGCGUAAAGCGCGCGUAGGCGGUCUGAUAAGCCGGUUGUGAAAGCCCCGGGCUCAACCUGGGAACGGCAUCCGGAAACGUCAGGCUUAAGGGCAGGAGAGGAAGGUAGAAUUCCCGGUGUAGCGGUGAAAUGCGUAGAGAACGGGAGGAAUACCAGUGGCGAAGGCGGUCUUCUGGACUGACACUGACGGUGAGGUGCGAAAGCGUGGGUAGCAAACAGGAUUAGAUACCCGAGUAGGC